CAAUACGGAAGGUACACGAGUGGCGCAAGGGUGCGUAGCGCGUAUGUAAUCUGCCNCUUGACCGGAACAAAACAGCUGGAAACGGCUGCUAAUAUUCCAUGGUCAUUUUCGGAGGCAUCUCUGGGGAUGUAAAGAUUUAUUGGUCAAGGAUGAGCAUGCGUAUUAUUAGAUAGUUGGUGGGGUAACGGCCCACCAAGUCGACGAUGAUUAGGGGUUCUGAGAGGAUUAACCCCCACACUGGAACUGAGACACGGUCCAGACUCCUACGGGAGGCAGCAGUAUGGAAUAUUGGGCAAUGGAAGGAAUUCUGACCCAGCCAUGCCGCGUGAAGGAAGACGGUCCUAUGGAUUGUAAACUUCUUUUAUCGCAAAGUAAAUUGGGGCACGUGUGCCCCAUUAAAAAUAUGCGAUGAAUAAGUAUCGGCUAACUCCAAGCCAGCAGCCGCGGUAAUACGGAGGAUACGAGCGUUAUCCGGAUUUAUUGGGUUUAAAGGGUGCGCAGGCGGAUCGGUAAGUCAGGGGUGAAAAGUUCGUGCUUAACAUGAAUCGUGCCUUUGAUACUGCCGGACUAGAGUGCAAUAGACGUGGGCGGAAUGUGAUGUGUAGCGGUGAAAUGCUUAGAUAUGUCACAGAACACCGAUCGAGAAGUCAGCUCACGAGUUUGCAACUGACGCUCAUGCACGAAAGCGUGGGGAUCAAACAGGAUUAGAUACCCUGGUAGUCCACGCUGUAAACGAUGAUCACUCGUUGUUGGCCGGCGACGGUCAGUGGCCAAGCGAAAGCGAUAAGUGAUCCACCUGGGGAGUACGAUCGCAAGGUUGAAACUCAAAGGAAUUGACGGGGGCCCGCACAAGCGGAGGAGCAUGUGGUUUAAUUCGAUGUUACGCGAGGAACCUACCCGGGCUUGAACGUAAGACGACGACGCAGGAGACUGCGUUUCCUUCGGGCGUUUUGCGAGGUGCUGCAUGGUUGUCGUCAGCUCGUGCCGUGAGGUGUUAGGUUAAGUCCUGCAACGAGCGCAACCCUUACUUUUAGUUGCCAGCAUGUAAAGAUGGGGACU
rnacentral:rRNA from 1 species